GAAGGGAGGGGCGGGGCGGUCACAUGAGCAGAACGCUCGGAGAAGAAUAGGGGAGCUGGAUCCCUUAGGCGGCUGAGGUGCUCUUCUGGACUCCCCAGUCCAGGGCUUCUCCCACAACGUCUUGCUGUCUCCUUUGACUCCCAAGGCCAAGCCCCUUCCUCUUCCAGGCUUUGCUGAUACUACCAGGGCACCGUCUCCUUUUCAGUAGCCAGGCUCAGAGCCAUCUUUCCCUGCUCACUCUCACCCUUGUAUCCAGACACCUGCCACAUCUUGGCAUUUUCCCGUCUCUUCAUUCAC
rnacentral:lncRNA from 1 species